UGGGGAAUAUUGGACAAUGGGCGAAAGCCUGAUCCAGCCAUGCCGCGUGUGUGAAGAAGGUCUUCGGAUUGUAAAGCACUUUAAGUUGGGAGGAAGGGCAGUUACCUAAUACGUAUCUGUUUUGACGUUACCGACAGAAUAAGCACCGGCUAACUCUGUGCCAGCAGCCGCGGUAAUACAGAGGGUGCAAGCGUUAAUCGGAAUUACUGGACGUAAAGCGCGCGUAGGUGGUUUGUUAAGUUGGAUGUGAAAUCCCCGGGCUCAACCUGGGAACUGCAUUCAAAACUGACAAGCUAGAGUAUGGUAGAGGGUGGUGGAAUUUCCUGUGUAGCGGUGAAAUGCGUAGAUAUAGGAAGGAACACCAGUGGCGAAGGCGACCACCUGGACUGAUACUGACACUGAGGUGCGAAAGCGUGGGGAGCAAACAGGAUUAGAUACCCCCGUAGUCCCUGAGCGGGCUGGCAAGGCGCAU
rnacentral:rRNA from 1 species